rnacentral:rRNA from 1 species
UACGUAGGGGGCAAGCGUUGUCCGGAAUUAUUGGGCGUAAAGGGCGCGUAGGCGGUCUGUCGCGUCGGCUGUGAAAACUCGGGGCUCAACCCCGAGCCUGCAGUCGAUACGGGCAGACUAGAGUGCUGUAGGGGAGACUGGAAUUCCUGGUGUAGCGGUGAAAUGCGCAGAUAUCAGGAGGAACACCGAUGGCGAAGGCGGUUCUCUGGGCCUUACCUGACGCUGAGGAGCGAAAGCGUGGGGAGCGAACAGG